rnacentral:miRNA from 1 species
GCUGGCGUCGACACGUGGCAU